rnacentral:rRNA from 1 species
UACGUAGGGUCCGAGCGUUGUCCGGAGUUACUGGGCGUAAAGCGCGUGUAGGCGGAUGGGUACGUCGGUCGCUGAAAGCCCCCGGCUCAACCGGGGAAGGGGUGCCGAAACGACCCGUCUGGAGGGACGUAGGGGGAUCUGGAACUUCCGGUGGAGCGGUGAAAUGCGCAGAUAUCGGGAGGAACACCAGCGGCGAAGGCGGCACUCUGGGCUGGUACUGACGCUGAGGAGCGAAAGCGUGGGUAGCAAACAGG